GGGUUUUUAGUAUAAUUAGUAUUUUUAAUUGCAAAUUAAAAGGUUUCAAGCCUU
rnacentral:tRNA from 1 species